rnacentral:rRNA from 1 species
AACGCAGCGAAGGGCGAUAAGUAGUGUGAAUUGCAGAAUUCAGUGAAUCAUCGAAUCUUUGAACGCACAUUGCGCCUCCUGGUAUUCCGGGAGGCAUGCCUGUUCGAGCGUCAUUAAAGACCACUCAAGCGUAUUUUGCUUGGUAUUGGAAGAAGAGUGCCUCCGGCCCUCCCCUUACCGAAAUCCAAUGGCGGAAAGUCUCACGUGCCCCGGCGUAGUAAGUUUAUCUUUCGCUUGGACCCUGAGGCGUUCUCGCCCUCAAAUCCCCAAUACUAUAGGUUGACCUCGGAUCAGGUAGGGAUACCCGCUGGACUUAA